rnacentral:rRNA from 1 species
AUUGAACGCUGGCGGCAUGCCUUACACAUGCAAGUCGAACGGCAACAGGUCUUCGGAUGCUGACGAGUGGCGAACGGGUGAGUAAUACAUCGGAACGUGCCCGAUCGUGGGGGAUAACGAAGCGAAAGCUUUGCUAAUACCGCAUAAGAUCUAAGGAUGAAAGCAGGGGACCGCAAGGCCUUGCGCGAACGGAGCGGCCGAUGGCAGAUUAGGUAGUUGGGGGGAUAGAAGCUUACCAAGCCGACGAUCUGUAGCUGGUCUGAGAGGACGACCAGCCAAACUGGGACUGGGACACGGCCCAGACUCCUACGGGAGGCAGCAGUGGGGAAUUUUGGACAAUGGGCGGAAGCCUGAUCCAGCCAUGCCGCGUGCAGGAUGAAGGCCUUCGGGUUGUAAACUGCUUUUGUACGGAACGAAAAGACUCUUUCUAAUAAAGAGGGUCCAUGACGGUACCGUAAGAAUAAGCACCGGCUAACUACGUGCCAGCCGCCGCGGUAA